UACGUAGGGGGCAAGCGUUGUCCGGAAUCAUUGGGCGUAAAGCGCGCGUAGGCGGCCCUGUAAGUCCGUUGUGAAAGUCAAAGGCUCAACCUUUGAAAGCCGAUGGAUACUGCAGGGCUAGAGUCCGGAAGAGGCGAGUGGAAUUCCUGGUGUAGCGGUGGAAUGCGCAGAUAUCAGGAGGAACACCUGUGGCGAAAGCGGCUCACUGGACCAUAACUGACGCUGAUGCACGAAAGCUAGGGGAGCAAACAGG
rnacentral:rRNA from 1 species